rnacentral:lncRNA from 1 species
UGCUAGCUACAUAGUUUCUUGGUGCCCCACCAUAGGCUUGAAACAUAGUUAUGGUAGUCUAUAGGACUAGCCCCUUUAUUAUCCUAUCACGAAUGGUAGUGGUAGUUCACAAGACUCGCCAUUUUUAUUGCCUUACCAUGAGGUAGAAAUAUGGUUGUGGUAGUCCAAAGCUGAGCACCUUAAUAUGAUCGGAUCCAAUGUAUGUUAGUUUGAGAUAAUUGUAUAAUGUGACUCAUUGCACAAAAGAUAUAUUUGCUAUCCGUAUUUUAUGAAUCAUGGAAUCUUUUAGCAUGUGAUUUAUAUAAGUAACAACUAUUGUUAGUUUCUCAUUAUUAUUAUAUUGAUGUUGGUGUGUGAAAAUUCUUACUCGACUGUAAACCUAACAACCCUCCUCUUUCUUUUUCAGAGUAAUAGAAUACCUGUACUUCACUAAGAUUGGGAUUACGAUUUGAAUGGAUUGAUUAAAUAGAACAUUAGCAAUAUCAGUUGAAUGAUCGAG